UCACUUUGGUGCCUAGGCUGAGACUGCAGUGGUACAAUCUCAGCUCACCACAGCCUUGACCUCUUGGGCUCAGGUGA
ensembl:miRNA